GCAGCGGUCAGAGGCCACAGCUGGAGGCUUGUUUGAUGAUCAGUAGGGACGGAUACUGACGGACCAUCACACCGCAGGCAUUGUAAAUUACCUCUGAGUAAUGCAAAGGAGAUAAAGCAGACAGCGUGGGGUCGAGAACAGAAAUUCCUCGUCAACAUCCCACUAAAUUCCCAUUGGGACUUGUGAGCCAAACAGCAGCUCAUAAAAUCAGCCUUAAUUUUCGGGGUUCAGUGCUCU